UAUGAUGUCAUAACUAGCUGGGUAAAUGCAGGGAGAGCAGUGGAUGUUGUGUUCCUUGACUUCAGCAAGGUGUUUGACACCAUGUCUCACAACAUCCUUAUUAUGAAACUUAGAAAGUGUGGCACAGAUGAGUGGAUGGUGAAGUGGACUAAGAACUGGCUGGCUGGCAAUGCUCAGAAGGGAAAAAAAAAGAGUGCUGAAUGAAGAAUGGUGGAAUUUAGUUCUGCAGUCUCCAACCACAUCAUGAAAGUAGGCAAAUGCAAAGUUUUAUGUCAGAAGUUUUGAAAAUAACAAAUUAGUCCUGAAAUACCAAACCACUGUUUCCCACACAGAUGCCAAACGGCUAUUUACUCACACUAAUAAAGAUUUCACUCACAUAUCCAUGAUUUAAGCUCACCCAAAACUUCAUAUGAAGAAACUGCUGAUGUCUUAUUCUUCUUACACACAGAGCCAUGUUUGAACACCAUGGUCAAAGUUUGGAGGAACCAUGGAAGAUAAACAAGAAUGUCUUGCUUUCUUCUUCAUCACCUGUUAAGGGAAUGAUCCACGGUCUGUGUAAUGAAUUUUCUUCCAACAAGAAAGAACAUCCUCUUAUGCUGACUGUACUGGCCACAGGUGUCAAGGUUUUGGCAGUGGGGAGGCUGCUGGGGUGGCCUUUGCAAAGAGAUACAGAGGCUGCCCACUGCCAGACAUGGAUGGCUCCAGCCAGCUCCAAUGGCUCCAAUACAGGGCACAUCUCAGCCCGUCAGCCACGCUGGUGGCACCUCUGAGAGCAGGUAUUUAAGCAGGAGGACACCGCACAGAACAGUGAGGACAGAGGAAGAAACAGUGUGAGAAGCAUCCCUGCAAACACCAAGGGCAGAGAACUAUUUGAAGGAGGUGCUCCAGGAGCUCAAAGGUGUUUCCCUGCAGCCCAUGAAGACCGCACAGGUCCAAACAUCCACACCACAAGCUGUGGAGGACCCCUUGCUGAUUCAGAUGGACAUGCCCUGAACGAACUACAGCCUGUGGGGAUGACCCAUGGUGGAGCAGGGGAAAAGUGUGAGGAGGAAGAAGUGGGUGAAACAAUCUUCAUGGACUGACCACAACCUCCUAUUCCCCCUGUGCCACAUGGGGGGCAGGAGGUAGAGGAGUUGGAAAUGAAGGAAUGAAGACGAGCAUGGUGAGAAGGGGGAAGUGGGAGGAAGGUGUCUUAGAUGGUGAGAAACACAGACAAAACUAACUCCAUUAUAAUAGGCAAUAAAAUACUUUAAUAUUCUCCAAGUUGUGACUGUCUACCCAUGAUGAUAACUCAUAGCUAACCUCUCCCUGUCUAUCUUGACGCACAAGCUUUCUCUUCUUUUUUUUCUCCCUGUCCUGUUAAAGAGAAGGAGUGAGAGAAUGGCUGGGUGGGGACCUGGCAGUUGA